rnacentral:lncRNA from 1 species
UUUUGGUGUUAAUGGCUUUUCUUUCCCAAUGGCAAUCUGACCUGAUAUUCUGUUUGUCCCACAGCACAGCGCAGCCCCUGACAGCUUCACUUGGGUUGCAGAAGGGCUGGAGGUCUUCAGCAGGGCACCUUUGGUUUGCUCGGAGGACUGCCUGGUACCCAGCUGCAUGGGGUGAAGGAGGUUUGUGCACCUGAUACCAAUACAGGCCCUCCCUUUCCCACGUUUGGGCUUUUGCACUUCAGCAGAACAGCACAGGUCAAGUGUGUUUUACUGGGAAAACAGUGGGAAGGAGCAAAAUGUGGGAGCCUGGAGCAAGGAGGGUUUCCCUGGCAUUUGAAAACAGAUGGAUUUUUUUUAGGAAGAUUCCCAUCCCAUCCCACUGUGCUCACUGCCCGCAUCCCUCAGUGCCACAUCCCGGUGGCUCUGAACCACCCCCAGGGAUGGUGACCCUCCUCCUCCCUGGGCAGCUGUAUGGCAACUGCUGAAUCACAGCCUGAACCUGUGAUUGAUCACCUGGGGUGAGCACUGAGUCAGCCCUGGGAGCACAGCUGAAGGCAAUUCACCUGUACUGCUGGAAGGGGUGGAGCCUGGCUGCACCUCUCCUACACCCAUUUAA